rnacentral:lncRNA from 1 species
AUUAAAAUUAAUAUAUUUCUUCUUGCUUUUUAGGUAUGACUACUAGAAAAUGUUCUACAUACCAUAUGUGGCUUGCAUUACAUUUCUAGUGGACAGUGCUGAUUUACAAGGACUCGGCAGCAUUGUCCAUCAUUUGUGUGAGUGCUUCUGCAUUACUCCCUGUAGGUCAGUCAGUCUUGACCUUCUGUUUAAAUUUCUUCUAAAUAUCUUUUAUACCAAUUAUAUCUCAUCUAGGCACUGGGGGUAACUAUUUAGUCUCAGUUUUGUCUUCCUUUCAGCCA